rnacentral:tRNA from 1 species
GCUUGGGUGGCUCAGUCGGUUGAGCGUCUGAUUUUGGCUCAGGUCACGAUCUUACGGUUCGUGAGUUCAAGCCCCGCAUUGGGCU